GGAUGUGAACAGAUAGAGCCACAGAUACACAAGUGGCUAAAUGGAAGCAUGACAGGAAAGCAGUUCCCUCCAACCAUUCUUUUGUUCUCAUAUUUAUGAAAGGAAACAGAGUUUGAAUUUACAGAGUGGGCACCAGCAUGGCAGUCAAGUGAUCCCAAAGGGAACUAGAGGAAAUCUAAAUGCACCAGGGGGGUGAGGAGAGCCAAUCUGCUUGUGGGCACUUUGUUAUGUUUGAAUCAGCUCCUUAGCACACAUAAGCAUUGGCCAAAUGCUUAUGAGGUACAGCGCAUCUUUGAGCAUCAUUAAGAAAAAAUGUAAAAGAUAAUUUAUAGCAGAUGUCCUGUACCUUUUGUAGUUCCCUUCAAUCCCCAUUAGCCAAACUUUUCCGGACACCAUGGGGCCAUUUCCUGAGAUUAACGGCUCCAUGUUAGGACCCUCCUUAAAGUACUGGGAUUUUUAAUCCCACUUCCUUACUCUGGAUUAGGCAGCUGUCUAGUAGGACCCUUAGAAAAGUCAAGAGAAAACUGAAUGCUCAACCCCACCUGGCUGCCAAACCAUAUAUUGCUCCCCAUUGAUUGCUUGUUUUAUACCUUGAUAUAUUUUACUUUUAGCAUGCCAUCAGUUGGGCUGUGUGCUGAAGAUGGGCUUUUACUGCAACUUAUACAAGAGAAAGGAACAUCUUUGUUCUCUGGUCUCUUUAAGUAGAAGGAGCUGACUUCUGGCCAUAACAGAUACAGGAAAUAUUCGAUAGAAAAAAAUGGACAAAACAAAUACAUACUGUGAAUUUUGUGAAGAGAAAGACAUGUUACUGCUGCUUUAAUAGAGGGUCUCAGAUAGUAAUGCAGCAGGUUGAGAAUUGAAAGAAAAUCUGAUUCAAGAUGUGGACUAGUAGCUAGGGCUCUUAGUAUGAAAAGAUAUUAAAUAAUAGGCUGAAUGAGUUUUUUUAAAGGUGUAUUUUUUCUUAAUUGGCUGGGGAAGGAUGCAAAGCAGUCCUGAGAGGGCACAAAGGUAGAGUUCCAUGAAGUCCAUAGAAAACUAGGCAAACAGGGUUCUUAUUGGCAGAGAAUCUUCACUGUUGACAAAAGCAAGCUCCUUGCUUUCUGUGCUGAGCUGAAAAUUGGAGCCUCGAGUUGAACAGGCAUGCAAUGCAAAUAAUAAGGUGCCCAUGGGUCUGCAGUUUUGGUCCUUGUCAACUGAAUUAUGCUGGUAUUAUCAAGAAGAUGUUUCAGCAUUGCUACAUUGAAGAUGUUGCAAGAAGAAAAUCUGUGAUACAUUUUUUAAAAAUGUGCCUGUGAGAGAUAUAUGAGUAUAUAUGUGAACUGGGAAGACUUCAACAUAAUAUAGAACUCAUUUACAUUCUUACUACCCCCUCAAUAUUCAGUGUGUGUGUGUUUAAUGGUACAGUAGAGUUUCACUUAUCCAACAUAAAUGGGCCGGCAGAACGUUGGAUAAGCGAAUAUGUUGGAUAAUAAGGAGGCAUUAAGGAAAAGCCUAUUAAACACCAAAUUAGGUUAUGAUUUUACAAAUUAAGCAUCAAAACAUCAUGUUAUACAACAAAAUUGACAGAAAAAGUAGUAUGUAGUAAUUACUGUAUUUACAAAUUUAGCACCAAAAUAUCACGAUGUAUUGAAAACAUUGACUACAAAAAUGCGUUGGAUAAUCCAGAACGUUGGAUAAGUGAGACUCUACUGUAAUGAAAGAGUGUGUUAAAGCAAUGAUACAAAAAGAUAUAAGUGAUUGUUGCAACAAUCUAAUUCUAAAGCAGUUCAGGAUGCAGUGAAUGACCUAUAACUCUUUUGACCUGCUGGAAUCUUAACUUCUGAGCAAAAAACCUGUGCCAAGAUUUACAUGUCAUCCAGAUUGUUUGCUGAAUUGUGAUCAAAAGCAACACAAAUGCACCUUUUAUUUACUAAAGAUAAGAAGAGUGCUAGCCAAUUGGUUUCUAGACAUUUGAUCUUGUGAGGCAUUUAGCAACCUUCGUCGUUAAGUAAAUAUUCAUCUGUAUUUUUUUAAAAACAAUCAAACUUUUCUAUGAUUGGAUUUUUUUUGUAAAACAAAAACAAAAAAGCCUAAAUCCUACCAAUAGGAAGUCUUUGCAAACAGAUUUCUUCUUUCCCUCCCCAUGCUAACUUGGCCCGAUAGGUCUUCUGCUUAGUUUUAAAUGCGGGCAGUCCUAAGUCAUAAAAUUAAUUCCCAUUUUGUGGAAUUGGCAGAAAUGAGGAUUGUUCUGACCCCUGUUUGAACUCAUCAGCUGAAAUGAAGUUGUUCAGUGAGCUGGAGAAGACAAAGCGAAGUCCUUAGAAAUUAAUCAACACCAUCAGCCUUUGCGAGAGACCUGGAAAUGGCACACACACCAGACUGACCCUGAGCCGCUCUGGAUUCCCGUCGCAAAUGAAAGUCAUCAUUCUUGGCAAGGAAGAUACUAAAUUAUAGGCUUUUAAAUUUAAUUUUCAGUUUACUUGUGUUUUCGAUUAGAGUGCCAUGUUUCAUAAAGACAGUAGUACCUUUAAGUAGUAAAUGCCUUCAUUUACCAUUGCAAGCCCUGAUGUAAGAAAAUGUAAAUAGGGGCUAAAAAACAGUUAGCAAAUGAUACUGAGCUACGUUUUCCACCCAACCCCCUCUUCUUUUUUCAGUAACACCUUAAGCAACAAUACCAAAUUAUUUUUCUUCAUACCAAAAUCAAUAACAGGCUUGGAAAUAAAAAGUAGCCCUGGAGCCUCGGGCCACAGAUUUUCAUGACAGGCUACUAAAACUAUCUUUCAGUAGCCUGAAGGGCUGCCAGCUAAUCAUUCACUUUCCUCUCACUAUUUAGUUGUUGGAUACCUCUCCGGGCUAGUAAAACUUAAAAGCUAUGUGACAAAUUGUCUGCUAAAGCAACAUUGUCCUUUUUCCUUCCCUUUUCCUUUUCUUUUUCCAAAUCUUCAUGGAACCUUCAUCUUAAGCCUGUGUACAAAGUUCAUGUUACUUUUUGUGAGGAAAAAAAAUGAUGAGAAUAUGAACUGCUUGGAAACUUCCAGAAGAAAUAUAGGAGAUAUUAUUGGUCUGCCUCUAAACCUAUUAAAGUUAACAGUGAAGCUUUCAUAGAUGUUCAUGAGCUAAGGACUGAGCUCUCAGUUAACAGAAAGGAACUUGAAUCCCUUUCUUUCACCCCUUGACAUAUAUGUGUGCGCACACAUAUUUAAAAUAAUACAA